rnacentral:tRNA from 1 species
AAAAAGAUAAGCUAAUUUAAGCUAUUGGGCCCAUACCCCAAAGAUGAUUUUUCUCUUUUUA